AUGGAGCAGAGGGGGAAACCAGCAGGCAAGGAGUCAAAAUCUCUGCAAUCAGCACUGAUAAAGAACUGUUAUUUUGGGAUAAGAAGAAUUGGCAUAAAAAGAAAAAGCAUAAAAGGCUGCAGCAGGAGGCCUGAAAUGGGCGCUGAGUACUCUCCUUACUCAGCAAGGAUGUGUUUGCCAUGGAAUCUAUAUUUACAUGAGAGAAAAGAAGACUUAUAACUGUAAGUUAAUUUCAUACUAUGUCUAAGAAUAUGUACA
rnacentral:lncRNA from 1 species